UACGUAGGUCCCGAGCGUUGUCCGGAUUUAUUGGGCGUAAAGCGAGCGCAGGUGGUUUAUUAAGUCUGGUGUAAAAGGCAGUGGCUCAACCAUUGUAUGCAUUGGAAACUGGUAAACUUGAGUGCAGGAGAAGAGAGUGGAAUUCCAUGUGUAGCGGUGAAAUGCGUAGAUAUAUGGAGGAACACCGGUGGCGAAAGCGGCUCUCUGGCCUGUAACUGACACUGAGGCUCGAAAGCGUGGGGAGCAAACAGG
rnacentral:rRNA from 1 species